GACGAACGCUGGCGGCGUGCCUAAUACAUGCAAGUCGAACGGACAGGCCUGCUUCUUGUUGUGCAGUCGUUGUACUCGAGCGGGGAACUAGUGCGUAGCUCACGUCUCUUUUGGCCUGAACUAACUUAUGGAACCGGGAGAUAGUACCUAAUUCUCUAUUGGACCGCAUGGUUCUGUCGUGAGUGGCGAAUUUGUUGUUACUUGUUGAUGGUGCGCCCGCGGCCUAUCAGGUUGUUGGGGGGGUAAUGGACUACAACAGCGGUGACUGGUAGCCGUACUGGGAGGGUGGACGGCGACAUUGGGACUGAGAUAAGGCCCAGACGGCUACGGGAGGCAGCAGUGGGGAAUAUUGCACAAUGGGCGGAAGCCUGAUGCAGCGACGCAGCGUGGGGGAUGACGGCAUUCGGGUUGUAAACUACUUUCGAACGCGAGGAAGCCAACUGGUUGGAAGGGUGGUGACGGUAGUGGUAGAAGAAGCACCGGCUAACUACGUG
rnacentral:rRNA from 1 species